rnacentral:lncRNA from 1 species
UUCUCUUCUGUUUUGUUUCCAAACAAAUUCUCCAUCUCCUCUAGAGUCUUCCCUCUGGUCUCCUUCAAGUAAGUAAAGAAGAACACCCAUGCCACCGCCGCGAUCCCGGCAUACAAGAAGAAGCUCCCACCGAUCGUAAUGGCCUUGUAGAGUGAUAUAAAGGUCAUCGUGAUCACACCACUUGUCACCCGGUUCACCACGACCCCUACACUCACCCCCUGUGCUCUUAGCCUCAGUGGGAAGAUCUCUGAGCAAUAGACGGAAGUUAUCGGCCCCAGACCGAUCGAAAAGAAGGCGACGUAGGCCAAUAUCGAUGCGAUGCAGAGCCCGACGGCCCACGGGAGUUGCCCAUCCGGGUGGCGAUCGACGACGGUGAGCCCAAGCCCAAGCCCGGCCAGCGACACUAUCAUCCCUCCUGUGCUGCUCAACAACAAAGGUCGCCGCCCAACACGGUCUAACUGGAAGGUUGCCACGAGGAUGAACAAAGUUUUGGUGAAUCCGACCGCCACCGUCGUGCCGAGCAGCGCGUCUUUGUCAUGAAUUCCGGCUUUUUUGAAGACUCGGGGGCUGUAGAGCACCACGGAGUCGAUACCGGAGGCCUGCUGGAAGAAGUGGAUUCCGAUCGCUGAUAUCAAGACACGGCGGACUGACGGCGUUGGCCUUAGGAGGAGCUCCUUCCACACUCCCUCGCCGUGGCUCUGCUUCUGGACCGCGACCACGUCGUCUCUGCAGUCUGCGGGGAUGCCGGCGACGUUCUUGAUGUCGAGGAGCCGUUCCUCGGCUUCUUCCGGGCUGUCGGAGGUCUUGAAGAGGACCUUCUUGGCCAAGCGGAGCUGGCCCUGCAUGACGAGCCACCGGGGCGAUUCCGGCAUGGCAAGGACCCCGACGCCGAGGAAGACGGAGGGGACGGCGCCGACGCCGAGCAUUAGACGCCAGCCGAGGUUCUCCGGGAGCUUGGAGAAGGCGAAGUUGGAGACGUAGCCGAGGAGGAUGCCGCAGUUGAUGAAGACCUCCGGGAAGGAGGUGAGGAAGCCGCGGGAGGAGGCGGGUGCGACCUCGGCCGUGUAGACGGCGGCGAUCACGGCGGCGUAGCCGACGCCGACGCCGGCAACGAAGCGGCCGACCAUGAGGAAGGCGUAAUUGGGGGCGAGGCCCAUCAUGAUUGCGCCGACGAAGAAGAUGACGGCAGCAAAGACGAUGGUGUAGCGGCGGCCGAUCCAGUCGGAGGUCCUGCCGGCGGCGAGUGAGCCGACGAUGGAGUAGAGGUUGAGGAUUCCGAGGAGUAUCUCUAUCUGAGUGUCAUUCACGUGCAGAUCGUCCUCUAUGAAUAAUGCAGCGCCACUCAUCACUCCGAUGUCUGUUAUAUAUUAUCCAUUAUUUUUAUGAAAUAUUUCUAAAAUAAUUAUUUCUAACAAUCAAUAAAAUUAUAAAAAAAAUAACCAAAGCAAUCAUGAACUCAAACAAAUUUAGGCUUAGCAUAUUACAAAUAAUAAUAAUAAUAAUAAAUAGAUAGCUGAACUCAAACAAAUUUUAAAGCUAGCCUCAUAAAUCAAGCAUGAAUAUUAAUUUUUUUUAUAGUUUUUUAUAACUUAACUUAAAUGUUAUAAGAACCCAGCUUGAAUAGCUGAAGUUGAUCUUGGAUCGAACCUGAACCAGCCUUGAGCAGCUUCUUUAUAUAAUAAGCCAAGUCUAACUGAAAGAUAUUAUGAACUAUUGAAAUAUUUUAAUUUCUGAAAAAAACUAAUUCAUGAACUAUUUUAAGAAAAUUAUCCUAAAAAAACUUCUUUAAGAAAAAUAUUCUAGUAAAACUAGAAGGAGACGAGAAAUACUUUCUUUUGAAUUCGAUUUUUUUUGUUCUUUCGGAGUAAAAAAAGAAGUUGUCCAUGAGACUUACCAUAGCCUAAGAUGAUGGAGGUCAUGGAGGCGAGCAUGGCGCAGGCGCAGGCGUACCUCUUGUUAUGGCGCGGCCGUGGGAUGACGGCCUCAGCGAGGGAGUCAUGGGGGCCUUGAGAAGCCACUUUGGUGGCUUCUGGUUUCUGGUCAGUCAUUUCUGAUCUCUUUUGCGUAUCUCUUCGAAGAAGUGGAAGGGAAGCAAGGGAGAGAGGUCUGUAGGAGGAUGGAUUGGAGAUGAGUACUUAACGGGAUAUGGCCAGUAGCGAAGCAUACUGUUGGCUUUUUCUCGAGUUAGUCUUUACUGCUUACCGGGGAUCAGAUAUCUUGAGUGUUUCUCUAAUUUAAACCACUGUAACUAUAAAUAAUCCAAGACUCGCCCUAGACGAGGUAGAGAGAUUUUCUUAUCUGAUAGAACCUACCAGUAAAUAGAGGGACUAAAGAGAUCAUUUUCCUGAUUCUUAGUAGAUUAUAUGAAGACUUAUCUUCGAGUUCUCUCAUACCAUUGAAUAAAGGGGGUGAGUCGCGUAAAAAAUUGAGGGUCACAGGGGUACGUUCGAUUCGCUCAUUUUUUGGUGUCCAGACCUGACGUCAGGCAUGGUGUCCCACUUGAUGCGUGUGUCCAGACAUGACGUAGCGUUUAAUUGAAACGUAGCAUUCACAUGUAAGCGAACGGUGUUUAUUUGCUUUAUUUUAUGUCUAACGGCUUUCUUUGCUCGCCAGCUUCCUCCUCCAACAUUAUUUUGUUGUGAUAUGUGAGGGACAGAUUAGUCAUUGAGCAGCCCUUUUUUUUUGGGGGGGCUAAAUCAGAAAAAUCAUACUACAUGAGUAUGAAUAAAGCCAAAAAAAUAAAAAACAGUACAUCUCGAAAAGCACUAGUCAAUUUCGCCUCAUCCACCCAUAGGUGUCCUUCAGAAUGAUUGGCAACAAAAGAAGCCACCCAAUCGGCCGCCCCAUUAGCCUCACGGAAAGUAUGCUUUGCCUGAAUGGCUAUCCCAUCACGGACCAUGGUCCGAAUAUCUCUUAAUAACGGGUGGUAAUCACCAAUUCCCCUGAAGACCGCUGAAUCCACCCAAUGAUCGUCGCAGAGUCGCCCCCAGAAUGAUUGAGCAGCCCUUUCAAAGAUACAGACAAAUCAUUAAGAAGGCCUUCCAAAGUUCUUCGUUGUAAGAGCCAUGAUGAGAAUUGCAUGUAGAGUUUUUUUUUUCCAGAUAUUUUUAUAAAAAAAACUUGCUGAAAAAUAUUUUUUAAAUUUUUUAAUCUCAUAUAGAGAUACAAAUAGGUUGGAACGGACAGGGUCAUGAGUGAUCUCGAUCCAAUUCGAUUUCUUGUUCAUGUCCUAAUGUUGAACCUAGACCCAAUCUAAUAGAAGAUUGGUUUGGAUCGGAUCGGAUCGGAUUUAUAGCUACAAUUUUUGAACCAACGAAUCAUUCGGGUUGGGUUGGAUUUAUAUAUAACUUUGUCCCAACCCAAAAAAAUUGGAUCCGAAACGGAUCCAGAACAACUCCGGUUCGGGUCGACAUUUCUGCUCUCUUCAAACUACAACCUCUUCCCUAAACUAACAGUAGACCCCAAGAUAAAUUGCCAUCCUUACAAUGGAUGCUUCAAUUUGGUUUUUAAGGUCAAGGACUCUGUGCUCCGUCAAGAAGUCCAUUGAUGCCAGAAACUCUUCAAGGUCAAGCAUUUCAACAGUAAUGCUCCUGUAGGUUGCAUCUCCAAGGCUUGACCUUCCAUUCUUUUAUAAAGAGAAAAAAGUCCAACUCAGAAAAUAGAUAUCAUUGACAGAUAAUUAGAGUGAGCAUGCUUCUUUUUCUUCUAACACUAAUGAGGAUAAGAAAAACUAAAUAAUACUAUCUCAUAGGCAGGUUCCUUCAGAAAUUGUACACAUAUUGUCAGAAAGGAAAAACGAUCGGUUUUCUACUAGUUAGAUGUUUGAUUAUCUUGUAUGCAGACUGAUUAAUAUAUUCAUUACGAUGACUUGACUUAUAGGUGCUUUUAGGCUUUGACACCAACUUAGUAGAGGAAAUGGAACAUUUUGAGCAAUCUUGCAUACUAAGACCAAUUUAUGGAACGCCAGACUUUUCCAAUGGCAUUAAUGUUGCCGUUCAAACCUAAUUAUCCGAUUGCUAUUUAGCUCGAUAUAAGGUGACUCAGACAAUGUAGGAGUUAUAGGCCAAUUUUCCAACCGAUAGCAUGCUAACCUCUUGUUACCCUCGGCAGCGAAGAAACUGCUUCAAUUUGUUAUAUCUUUCUAAUUUGAGUUCCAAUUGAUGAGAUUGUGGAAAUGCAACGAAAGUUAUUUGAUACUCAAACUCUAUCUAUGAUGGUUGCUGCUAUGAUGUCAUUGAAAUCGACAUACACCAAAUUAAUUUGCUUUCUGCAACUUGACUUAAUAGACAAAAUCUAUGGAUCGGAUGGUUAUCAUAUAACACAAGUUAUUUGGAUGUCAAAUGGGCAAGAUUUUCUGUUUGUCUAUUACAUCAUAAAUUUUAACAGUUUUCGGUCUUUUGUAUGAUUCAACUUUGAUACAAGAUGGAUCAUGCAUCCAGACUAGCGACUCCCAGAGCCACAUCAAGUAGUUUAAGCCUUUUUUUUCUAAUUCUAUUUGGAUCUAGCUGUAUUAGGCAUUGGGGAUAUAGAGGUCCUCUCUCAAUGCUUCAAAUCUGGUUAUACAUCUAUUUCUUAGAGAUGUGCCAUGCUUGGGAAGGAUGCAACCGAUAUAGUUCCUAUCAUGCGUCAGUAUGCUCACUUAGAGGGCUUGUUCCUUUUCUUCUUUUUUUUAAGUAUUUCAGGUUCUUUUACAAGGACUCCUCUCAUAGAUAUAGAAACUUCAAGAUCCUUUUUCUUCAUUAUCCCAAACCUGCUUGGCUAGUAUUUUUAGAGGAUGAUUUGUCCUUACCAGAGACCGAAGCUGUAGGACUUCUCUAGAGAAAUUUUUUGGUCUCGAGAGGAUCUUCAUGUCAACUUCAUCAUAUAUAGAUCAGUGAAUAUAAUAAGUGCUAUGUUGAAUACUACUCUAGCUCCUAACUAUUUUACUUGUCAAUUCAGCCUAGUGAAUCAUCGGUAGUUGCAAGUCUCAUAAUCAGUAUAUUCAUAUGGAGAAUCAAGUAUCUCUCUACAGCUAGUAAGAUAAUUAGAAUACCCAAGAUCAUUAAUCCAGUCAUUAGCAAAAUCAAUAUAUGUCAUUUGAGAUGAUACAAUAAUGUAUGCAUACUGACUGUCAAGACAACUUACAACAACAAUAGAAGCACUAAGAACCUAACUAUCAACUUCCUUUUCUCCUCUAUACUUUGAUAUAGAGGAUAAAACAUUAGAUUGUUUGAGCUUCACCUAGAAAUCUGGAAUUUUGUUACCAAAUUUUUCACAUCUAUGAUAAUUCUCAUUAAAUUUGUGCUAUUUCCUCUAUUUAGAAAAUUUUCCUUCUCAAAUUCUUCAACUACCUUUUCUUCCAAAUUUUUGAAUUUAUUAUUUUAUAUUUUAUUUCUAUUUACACUAUUAGAAAAUAAGAUCUUUUCUUUUGGAGGGGAUUUAGUGAAACUAUGCAUCUGAGUAUUAAGUGUUUCUAGAUUAACAUGUAUAUUUUUAAGUUAUGCUAAUGUAGGUUGUUUAGUCCAUCCAUAAAUCACAAGCAUAUAAGAACUAUACUAUUUAUUCAAACCGUGAACCAAAAGUCCAUCCUAUUUAUUUGUUUAUCAUAGCAAGAGUUUUCAUCAAGCAUGCUAAGCUUAUCAGAUAAUUUUUUUCUUUUAAAAGAAAUACAGAAAUUCUGUACACAUGCCUGCACGAGUCCUCACAAAUAAUCAUAUUUUUCCGAGUACAAAAUAGUUAUAUUUCUCAAUCCACACUAAUUAUGCUCUAAAUAACUUAAAGUCAGAUUGGAUCAAAUCAUUUUCAGAUCAAUUCCAAAUUGGAAGCGCACUAGUUUUAAUCUAUUCACCUGCAAAGAGGUAUAUUAUGUGAAUAUACGGUAUUAAGUCCUCAAUAGGUUGGUGCCGAUAUUUUGGUUAGGCAUGUCAUAAGUUGAGAUUUUGAUUAAAAAUGUGACAGGUUUUUCUAAAUAUGCUUAAAUGGGCUUGCAUCAAAAAAAGAAAGCUUGAUUGAUGCACGCAGCAAGGAUAUCAUUUUAUCCAUUUCGAAGGGCAGCUGGUGUAUCUUAGAAGUUACUGAAUGCCUGGCCAAUCUGUCCACGCAACAUGAAAUAGAGACCAUACAGACCAAGUGCAUUGCUCUUGGACCAUUCGAUUAAUUUAAGCUAACAGCUAGCAGCUGCACAGUGCUCUCCGUGAUACAAGGAAUGAGAGGUAGCAUAAAUCCUGUGCCCACAUACCAUAUGCAUCUCGAAACCCCAUAUAUUCUGCAAUUUAUAUGCACCUGACGAUGCUUUGAGAUAACAAAUAGCUAGAAAAUUAAUAAUUUCCCUACUCUUCCUGGCGUUAGAAACCAUGUCCCCUUCAAGAUUUUACACCGAUGUUGAUAAUGAGAGAGAGCCAAGAAAGGACAAAUAGAGGAAAGAUAAAGCCUCAAUAGACACCAUAAAAUAAUUUGGCUGGCCAAGCUGAGGAAAUUUCUAACAAAGCCACUUCCUCACCAAAGAUCCGUAAACACGAUAGAAUUCCAGUGUUUGCCUGGGUGACGGCGAAAUCUUCAAAUAUCCUUCUCUGAUCCUAUCUUUUAUUUAAUUCCUUUAAAUCAAAUGGAGUGGGAACACGACAUCCAUGACAGAUCCACCAAACAAGACUUCCAAUAAUUAUGCAAUAUGUUUGCUUUCCCUUGAAGUAAAAAGAAAACGUUUUCUUAUCCCUAUCAACCCCAAAGCCUUGGUUGGCCACCCUCGUGGGCCUCGUUAGAGAAUCUUCCACCUCCGUAAUAAUUUUGCAGAAAACACCCGAAAGUUAUCAAGCUUCCCCAUUACUCCCUCCCCCAGCGCCACUCACCAUCUGAACUUCUCCGUCCUUCUCUUCUGUUUUGUUUCCAAACAAAUUCUCCAUCUCCUCUAGAGUCUUCCCUCUGGUCUCCUUCAAGUAAGUAAAGAAGAACACCCAUGCCACCGCCGCGAUCCCGGCAUACAAGAAGAAGCUCCCACCGAUCGUAAUGGCCUUGUAGAGUGAUAUAAAGGUCAUCGUGAUCACACCACUUGUCACCCGGUUCACCACGACCCCUACACUCACCCCCUGUGCUCUUAGCCUCAGUGGGAAGAUCUCUGAGCAAUAGACGGAAGUUAUCG